AGUGAACGCUGGCGGUAGGCCUAACACAUGCAAGUCGAACGGCAGCACAGUAAGAGCUUGCUCUUACGGGUGGCGAGUGGCGGACGGGUGAGGAAUACAUCGGAAUCUACCUUUUCGUGGGGGAUAACGUAGGGAAACUUACGCUAAUACCGCAUACGACCUACGGGUGAAAGCAGGGGAUCUUCGGACCUUGCGCGAUUGAAUGAGCCGAUGUCGGAUUAGCUAGUUGGCGGGGUAAAGGCCCACCAAGGCGACGAUCCGUAGCUGGUCUGAGAGGAUGAUCAGCCAAAUGGGAACUGAGAAACGGUCCAGACUCCUACGGGAGGCAGCAGUGGGGAAUAUUGGACAAUGGGCGCAAGCCUGAUCCAGCCAUACCGCGUGGGUGAAGAAGGCCUUCGGGUUGUAAAGCCCUUUUGUUGGGAAAGAAAAGCAGCAGGUUAAUACCCCGCUGUUCUGACGGUACCCAAAGAAUAAGCACCGGCUAACUUCGUG
rnacentral:rRNA from 1 species